rnacentral:misc_RNA from 1 species
AUGCCCCAAUAAUUUCAUCUUGUUUUGUAUGUUUCUUGUCCAUGACUACAUAUUCAACGACCUCUUUAUCAUUUAAUUUGCUUUAAACUUGCAUUGCCAAAUCAACUAUUUAGUUCAGAAUUCAGAUUAUUGUUCAUAUUUGGCAGCUGAAGUACAAGGGACCCAUUUAUUCAAAUGGCACGCUAAUUCACCUAAAAUUACCUAAAUUAAAAAAAGUCUCAAUUCGAAUGGUGUCUAUGUCACAUAAUAGGCUUUUUCUAUUAUUUGGUUACAAAA